AAAAGUCCAGACACUUUUAUGUAAAUGUUUUGAAGAAUUUUGUCAAGAAAGCAAGCCCUUUUCCAUUCCUGUUUUCAUUGCAAAGCAAAUUUAUCGCGCUCGAUGCAGCCAUCAAUGGUAGCAAUCAAACGCAGGCGCUGUUUGCCUUUACCAACCUCCCUUUCUCCUUUGUCUCAUCGCUUCCUCAAACCCUUUUCUUCUUCAAUAACCUCACAAUCUGAUCAUCCUCGGCCAGAUAACAAAAAUCCCAUUCCAUCACCGGAAGAAACAACACUAGCAAACCAAUUACACUCUCUAAUCAAAGACCACCACCGUAAAAACCCUAACCUCACCAUACCCAAUAACACUUCUCCAUCUCUUUGCCUUGACCUCACCCAGUUCUCAGCCGCCCCUUUCUCCCCUUCCACCAUCCGCCUCGUCAUUGAAAAAUGCGCCGCAGUUCGCCACGGCAUUCCUUUUCCUCAGGCCCUUUCUUUCUUCAACUGGGCCACUUCUCGGGUCGGGUUCACCCACCACCCUGACCCUUACAAUGAGAUGAUCAAUCUUGCUGGUAAAGUUAGAAAUUUUGAUGUCUGUUGGCAAGUUAUUGAUUCAAUGAAAGCUAGAAAUGUUGAUAUUAGUAUCGAAACGUUUUCUAUUCUUAUUAGACGUUAUGUUAGAGCGGGACUGAAUUCCGAGGCUUUACAUGCUUUUAAUCGCAUGGAGGAUUAUAAUUGUUUGCCUGAUAAGCUUGCUUUUUCUAUUUUGAUUAGCAUUUUGUGUAGGAAAAGAAAAGCUAGUGAAGCUCAGUCUUUUUUUGAUAGUUUAAAAGACAAGUUUGAGCCUGAUGUUAUUGUCUACACUAAUCUGAUUCGUGGGUGGUGUCGCGCUGGAAAUAUACCAGAGGCUGAGAGGGUCUUUAAGGAAAUGAAAAUGGCGGGUUGUAUGCCGAAUGUUUAUACGUAUUCUAUUGUCAUUGAUGCUUUGUGUAGAUGUGGGCAGAUUAGUCGCGCGCAUGAUGUUUUUGCUGAGAUGCUUGAUGUCGGAUGUGAACCAAAUUCAAUCACUUUUAAUAAUCUGAUGAGGGUUCAUGUUAAAGCUGGUAGAACUGAAAAGGUUUUGCAAGUCUAUAAUCAGAUGAAGAGGAUGGAAUGCUCUCCUGAUACCAUUACUUUUAAUUUUCUUAUAGAGAGUCACUGCAAGGAGGGGAAUCUUGAAGAAGGAUUCAAGGUUCUUAACUCGAUGGUUAAGAAGGGGUGUAGUCCUAAUGCUGCUACUUUCAAUUUAUUAUUUGGGUCGAUUUCGAAGUUAGGAGAUGUGAAUGGGGCUCAUAGAUUGUAUGCUAAGAUGAAAGAGGUUAAGUGUGAGGCUAAUACAGUAACAUACAAUAUCCUAAUGCGUAUGUUUGUAGACAGUAAAUCUGCGGAUAUGGUUCUGAAGUUAAAGAAGGAAAUGGAUGAAAAUGAAGUUGAACCUAAUGUGAACACUUACCGUGUUUUAAUUUCAAUGUAUUGUGGAAUGGGGCACUGGAAUAAUGCGCACAAGCUCUUUAAAGAGAUGGUUGAAGAGAAGGGUCUAAAACCGAGUCUCCAUGUUUAUGAGAAAGUUCUCCAGCAGCUCAGGAAUGCUGGGCAGUUAAAGAAGCAUGAACAAUUAGUGGCAGUUAUGGUUGAUAGAGGAUUUGUUACUCGUCCUGUAUAAGGAAAGCUACGUCUUCUGCUCCUAUGUGAGUUAUGUUUUAAUGAUACGGGAUUUUAGGGCUGAAACCUUGAUAUAUCCUCUUCAUUAUGUGAAAAUGGUUUCUGAACUUAUUUAAUUUAGGGAUGAAUAGCUAAGUAGCUAUGCAGCACAUGCAUUGGACUCGUAGAGAUGCAUUCCAGUCAUUGCAAUGUGUGAUCACGUGUCUGAUGGCCUAAACCCGGUUUGCUUAAAGUAAAUUGUCAAUAAGGAUUGAUACGUUUGUGAUAACUCUGGUGAUAUAUUUCAGCUACCUGUGCCGCAAGUUUCCCGGGCUUGUGGUAGGACAGCAGUAAAUAGCUCACUUUUAACACCAUGGACUCGGUAGAUGAUUAGCUGAACAACUCGAAAGCUGUAGAGACUUCGGCUCUCUUGAUGCUGGUUUUAGAGAAGGUGGAAACUGCAUUAGAAUUACUCAAAAUUGUAAAUGAAUUAGGGUUUCAGUUUAGAUGGUACAACUUGGAUGGAUUCAGAAAAACGAGUAAUGUUACGUAAUGAACAAGUUAUCAUUCUGUUUGUUAGUGUAUUAUCCAUUAUUGGCAUAGACAGAGAAAGGAACCUGCAGCCCAGGCACCAUAGGAAGUAACAUGGCGACAUCCACCGACUAUAUAAAACUAUAUCUUAAAAAUAUCCCAUGUAAUACAUAUCUGUUAAUUAGGUAAGAAUUUCCCUAUAUAUGUUACGUACGCAAAUACUUGCGUUGACCAA